UACAGAGGGGGCGAGCGUUGUUCGGAAUUAUUGGGCGUAAAGGGCGCGUAGGCGGUGCGGUAAGUCACCUGUGAAAUCUCCUGGCUCAACUGGGAGCUUGCAGGCGAAACUGCCGUGCUGGAGUGUGGGAGAGGUGCGUGGAAUUCCCGGUGUAGCGGUGAAAUGCGUAGAUAUCAGGAGGAACACCGAUGGCGAAGGCAGGUCUCUGGGCCGAUACUGACGCUGAGGAGCGAAAGCGUGGGGAGCGAACAGG
rnacentral:rRNA from 1 species